rnacentral:sRNA from 1 species
CGCGCGUCUGCCGUUGUCACAGGCCAGGGAGGUGGCACCACCAGGCGAAGCUUGGCGAGAUUGUGUCGUCAAGCGCGUACGGGCGCCAAUUGGCCGGGCGAUGUGGCGUGGACUGGCGCUGGCGAGAGCGAUUGGCUGCGCGGCCCGGGGGUGGGGCCAGUGGGCGGUGCGCGCCGCGGACUGUGCUCAAAGCGGGCGCUCUGCGGGACCGGCGGGUGUCUGUGGCCGGAGGCUGAUCAGGAUUAUUGCAUCGAGCUUUUAGCGUCUUCUUAUUCAACACCGAAAAUAAGCUUCUGCUACAGCAAAGAUCAGAUGCUAAGAUUACCUUUCCAGGUUGUUUUACGAAUACAUGUUGUAGUCAUCCAUUAAGCAAUCCAGCCGAGCUUGAGGAAAGUGACGCCCUUGGAGUGAGGCGAGCAGCACAGAGACGGCUGAAAGCUGAGCUAGGAAUUCCCUUGGAAGAGGUUCCUCCAGAAGAAAUUAAUUAUUUAACACGAAUUCACUACAAAGCUCAGUCUGAUGGUAUCUGGGGUGAACAUGAAAUUGAUUACAUUUUGUUGGUGAGGAAGAAUGUAACUUUGAAUCCAGAUCCCAAUGAGAUUAAAAGCUAUUGUUAUGUGUCAAAGGAAGAACUAAAAGAACUUCUGAAAAAAGCAGCCAGUGGUGAAAUUAAGAUAACGCCAUGGUUUAAAAUUAUUGCAGCAACUUUUCUCUUUAAAUGGUGGGAUAACUUAAAUCAUUUGAAUCAGUUUGUUGACCAUGAGAAAAUAUACAGAAUGUGAAUAUGUAGGUAAAUGAUUACAGAAAAAUUUCUCUGCUUAACAAACUUAGAAUGACUUUUUCCUUUUAAAUUUAGUUCUAUCAUUAAAUUUAGUUCUAUCAUUUAGUACUAUCAUUAAUGUAUUAUAUACACUGAUACUUUAAAACUUGUGUGGAAAAAACUAACUUAUAAUUUUGUAUCACACACCCUGGAUAUGUGUUCUGUUUCUAAGCGACAUUUGUGAGAGAGUAUUGUAAAAUGAGAGAGAGCAAAUAAAACUUAAUUUAAUCUUUGC